rnacentral:rRNA from 1 species
UGAACCCGCUUGCGGGGGAUUAGUGGCGAACGGGUGAGUAACACGUGAGUAACCUGCCCUUAACUCUGGGAUAAGCCUUGGAAACGGGGUCUAAUACUGGAUAUUGACUUUACCUCGCAUGGGGUUUUGUUGAAAGAUUUAUUGGUUUUGGAUGGACUCGCGGCCUAUCAGCUUGUUGGUGAGGUAAUGGCUCACCAAGGCGACGACGGGUAGCCGGCCUGAGAGGGUGACCGGCCACACUGGGACUGAGACACGGCCCAGACUCCUACGGGAGGCAGCAGUGGGGAAUAUUGCACAAUGGGCGAAAGCCUGAUGCAGCGACGCCGCGUGAGGGAUGACGGCCUUCGGGUUGUAAACCUCUUUCAGUAGGGAACAAGGCCAGCAUUUUUGUUGGUUGAGGGUACUUGCAGAAGAAGCGCCGGCUAACUACGUGCCAGCAGCCGCGGUAAUACGUAGGGCGCAAGCGUUAUCCGGAAUUAUUGGGCGUAAAGAGCUCGUAGGCGGUUUGUCGCGUCUGCCGUGAAAGUCCGGGGCUCAACUCCGGAUCUGCGGUGGGUACGGGCAGACUAGAGUGAUGUAGGGGAGACUGGAAUUCCUGGUGUAGCGGUGAAAUGCGCAGAUAUCAGGAGGAACACCGAUGGCGAAGGCAGGUCUCUGGGCAUUAACUGACGCUGAGGAGCGAAAGCAUGGGGAGCGAACAGGAUUAGAUACCCUGGUAGUCCAUGCCGUAAACGUUGGGCACUAGGUGUGGGGGACAUUCCACGUUUUCCGCGCCGUAGCUAACGCAUUAAGUGCCCCGCCUGGGGAGUACGGCCG